ACGGAGGAUCCGAGCGUUAUCCGGAUUUAUUGGGUUUAAAGGGUGCGUAGGCGGAAAAAUAAGUCAGUUGUGAAAGUUUGCGGCUCAACCGUAAAAUUGCAGUUGAUACUGUUUUUCUUGAGUGUACAUAAGGUAGGCGGAAUUCGUGGUGUAGCGGUUAAAUGCUUAGAUAUCACGCAGAACUCCAAUUGCGAAGGUAGCAUACCGGGUUACAACUGACGCUGAGGCACGUAAGUGUCGGUAUAGAUCAG
rnacentral:rRNA from 1 species